rnacentral:tRNA from 2 species
GGGCUGGUGGCGGAAUUGGCAGACGCAGCGGACUUAAAAUCCGCCGACCGCAAGGUCAUGUGGGUUCGAGUCCCACCCGGCCCA